GGGUGAGUAACACGUGAGCAACCUGCCCCUGACUCUGGGAUAAGCGCUGGAAACGGCGUCUAAUACUGGAUAUGUGACGUGACCGCAUGGUCUGCGUCUGGAAAGAAUUUCGGUUGGGGAUGGGCUCGCGGCCUAUCAGCUUGUUGGUGAGGUAAUGGCUCACCAAGGCGUCGACGGGUAGCCGGCCUGAGAGGGUGACCGGCCACACUGGGACUGAGACACGGCCCAGACUCCUACGGGAGGCAGCAGUGGGGAAUAUUGCACAAUGGGCGGAAGCCUGAUGCAGCAACGCCGCGUGAGGGAUGACGGCCUUCGGGUUGUAAACCUCUUUUAGCAGGGAAGAAGCGAAAGUGACGGUACCUGCAGAAAAAGCGCCGGCUAACUACGUGCCAGCAGCCGCGGUAAUACGUAGGGCGCAAGCGUUAUCCGGAAUUAUUGGGCGUAAAGAGCUCGUAGGCGGUUUGUCGCGUCUGCUGUGAAAUCCGGAGGCUCAACCUCCGGCCUGCAGUGGGUACGGGCAGACUAGAGUGCGGUAGGGGAGAUUGGAAUUCCUGGUGUAGCGGUGGAAUGCGCAGAUAUCAGGAGGAACACCGAUGGCGAAGGCAGAUCUCUGGGCCGUAACUGACGCUGAGGAGCGAAAGGGUGGGGAGCAAACAGGCUUAGAUACCCUGGUAGUCCACCCCGUAAACGUUGGGAACUAGUUGUGGGGUCCAUU
rnacentral:rRNA from 1 species